CGGUACAGAGGUGCUUGCACCUCUUGAGAGCGGCGGACGGGUGAGUAAAGCCUAGGAAUCUGCCUGGUAGUGGGGGAUAACGCUCGGAAACGGACGCUAAUACCGCAUACGUCCUACGGGAGAAAGCAGGGGACCUUCGGGCCUUGCGCUAUCAGAUGAGCCUAGGUCGGAUUAGCUAGUUGGUGAGGUAAUGGCUCACCAAGGCGACGAUCCGUAACUGGUCUGAGAGGAUGAUCAGUCACACUGGAACUGAGACACGGUCCAGACUCCUACGGGAGGCAGCAGUGGGGAAUAUUGGACAAUGGGCGAAAGCCUGAUCCAGCCAUGCCGCGUGUGUGAAGAAGGUCUUCGGAUUGUAAAGCACUUUAAGUUGGGAGGAAGGGCAUUAACCUAAUACGUUAGUGUUUUGACGUUACCGACAGAAUAAGCACCGGCUAACUCUGUGCCAGCAGCCGCGGUAAUACAGAGGGUGCAAGCGUUAAUCGGAAUUACUGGGCGUAAAGCGCGCGUAGGUGGUUCGUUAAGUUGGAUGUGAAAUCCCCGGGCUCAACCUGGGAACUGCAUUCAAAACUGUCGAGCUAGAGUAUGGUAGAGGGUGGGUGGAAUUUCCUGUGUAGCGGUGAAAUGCGUAGAUAUAGGAAGGAACACCAGUGGCCAAAGCCGACC
rnacentral:rRNA from 1 species